rnacentral:tRNA from 1 species
GGGCCUGUAGUCUAGUGGUAAAACAGUGCAUUCGCAUUGCACAGCCGGCGGUUCGAUUCCGCCCAGGUCCACAA